GGGGUUGUGGCUCAGCGGUAGAGCGAUCACUUUGCAUAUGCGAGACCUGGGUUCGAUCCUCAGCACCACA
rnacentral:tRNA from 1 species